UGAGCAGAAAAGAUGGUGCUUCACCUUGAUAAAGAGCAUGCACUGUUGGAAUGGGUUAACCACCUGAAUGUGGACCUCCCGGUGCGGAGCAUCAAGGAUUUACAGGAUGGCGUUUUGUUGUUGAAGCUCGUCUAUAAACUGAGAAAGGAAGAGCCCGCUAAGUUCUAUUUGGACCAGCCUAUCCAGGAGAGGCUGAAAGUGGUCUCUGACUUCCUGCAAGGUGAGUCACACUCCCUAGUCAGGGGGGGGGUAGUUUUCCCCCCACAGACACAUGGUUAAUAGUCCUGCCGUUGUGUUUUUCCAGGUGAUUGUAGGUGCAGCACAGAACGGGGAGCUCUCAUCUCCUGGGACAACAUCAGCAAUGGCCUAAACCUGGAGGUGGAGUUAUCCAAGGUAUCAGGUUCAUACAACUGAGUUUUUAUUCACUGACCAAAUGUGGUCUUGAGCCCAAGUAUACAUCAUGAAUUGAUGGAUGGAGGCCAUCAGAGGCCACUGCAUUGUGUUCAGCUCUACACUUGACCCAACUCUCUCUCGAAGCAAAGUUUAUUGGUUACAUGCAUAGAAUACAGGGUGUAAAUGAUACAGUGAAAUAGUUAAUUGCAUGCUCUCCUCAACAUUUAUCAAAAAUAAUUAUGUAGUACAAAAAUAAAUCAAAUAGUGAUGUUUGGAAAUGUAUACACAGUAAGAAUAUACAGUAUAGACUAUGAAAUAUGCUGAAGUGAGUUAAUGAUCCAGCCCACCUCUAACCCAGAUCCCCUGUGUGGCCUGUUUU
rnacentral:lncRNA from 1 species